rnacentral:pre_miRNA from 1 species
UAAGUACUCUGUGUGUUCGGAAUUACUCGUCGCAAAAAUGGAUGUAUUUAGACGUAUUUUAUUUCUAGAUACAUUCAUUUUUAUUCAUUUGCGUGACAAGUAAUUUGAGACUGAAGGAGUACUGC